rnacentral:rRNA from 1 species
AGAGUUUGAUCAUGGCUCAGAUUGAACGCUGGCGGCAUGCUUUACACAUGCAAGUCGAACGGUAACAGGCCGCAAGGUGCUGACGAGGGGCGAACGGGUGAGUAAUGCAUCGGAACGUGCCCAGUCGUGGGGGAUAACGCAGCGAAAGCUGCGCUAAUACCGCAUACGAUCUAUGGAUGAAAGCGGGGGACCGUAAGGCCUCGCGCGAUUGGAGCGGCCGAUGUCAGAUCAGGUAGUUGGUGGGGUAAAGGCUCACCAAGCCGACGAUCUGUAGCUGGUCUGAGAGGACGACCAGCCACACUGGGACUGAGACACGGCCCAGACUCCUACGGGAGGCAGCAGUGGGGAAUUUUGGACAAUGGGCGCAAGCCUGAUCCAGCAAUGCCGCGUGCAGGAAGAAGGCCUUCGGGUUGUAAACUGCUUUGUACGGAACGAAAAGGCUCUGGUUAAUACCUGGGGCUCAUGACGGUACCGUAAGAAUAAGCACCGGCUAACUACGUGCCAGCAGCCGCGGUAAUACGUAGGGUGCAAGCGUUAAUCGGAAUUACUGGGCGUAAAGCGUGCGCAGGCGGUUUUGUAAGACAGGCGUGAAAUCCCCGGGCUCAACCUGGGAAUGGCGCUUGUGACUGCAAGGCUGGAGUGCGGCAGAGGGGGAUGGAAUUCCGCGUGUAGCAGUGAAAUGCGUAGAUAUGCGGAGGAACACCGAUGGCGAAGGCAAUCCCCUGGGCCUGCACUGACGCUCAUGCACGAAAGCGUGGGGAGCAAACAGGGUUAGAUACCCUGGUAGUCCACGCCCUAAA